rnacentral:ncRNA from 1 species
CUCUUCAGGGCAGGGUGAAAUUCCCGAUCGGCGGUAAAGUCCGCAAGCCACUUUCAUGUACAAUGUACCAUUUACUAUGUACUAUUUUAGAGGCACGAACCGUUGCAAUCACGGUACCGACAGUAUAGUCUGGAUGGAAGAAGACU